rnacentral:other from 1 species
CUCACCCUGACUGUACGUGGGUGGGUGCGUGUUUUGAGCCAACACGGUUUCCAUGGGAGCUUCGCUCUAACGAGUUGAGCUAUGCGGCGGGCCGCAGAUGCUCACAGGCGGGCACCCACCUGCUAUCGCAGGUUCGAAACUGGCCCAUCCACGGCAGAACAGGGCACCA